UACGUAGGGUGCGAGCGUUAAUCGGAAUUACUGGGCGUAAAGCGUGCGCAGGCGGUCUGUUAAGACCGAUGUGAAAUCCCCGGGCUUAACCUGGGAACUGCAUUGGUGACUGGCAGGCUUUGAGUGUGGCAGAGGGGGGGUAGAAUUCCACGUGUAGCAGUGAAAUGCGUAGAGAUGUGGAGGAAUACCGAUGGCGAAGGCAGCCCCCUGGGCCAACACUGACGCUCAUGCACGAAAGCGUGGGGAGCAAACAGG
rnacentral:rRNA from 1 species